rnacentral:rRNA from 1 species
UACGUAGGGUGCGAGCGUUGUCCGGAAUUAUUGGGCGUAAAGAGCUUGUAGGUGGUUUGUCGCGUCUGCUGUGAAAAUCCGAGGCUCAACCUCGGACUUGCAGUGGGUACGGGCAGACUAGAGUGCGGUAGGGGAGAUUGGAAUUCCUGGUGUAGCGGUGGAAUGCGCAGAUAUCAGGAGGAACACCGAUGGCGAAGGCAGAUCUCUGGGCCGUAACUGACGCUGAGGAGCGAAAAGCAUGGGGGAGCGAACAGG